ACAGAGGGUGCAAACGUUGUUCGGAAUUACUGGGCGUAAAGCGCGUGUAGGCGGCUCGGCAAGUCGGAUGUGAAAGCCCUGGGCUCAACCCAGGAAGUGCACUCGAAACUGCCGAGCUGGAGUCCCGGAGAGGAAGGCGGAAUUCUCGGUGUAGAGGUGAAAUUCGUAGAUAUCGAGAGGAACACCUGUGGCGAAGGCGGCCUUCUGGACGGCGACUGACGCUGAGACGCGAAAGCGUGGGGAGCAAACAGGA
rnacentral:rRNA from 1 species